rnacentral:rRNA from 2 species
AUGGGCGAAAGCCUGAUCCAGCCAUGCCGCGUGUGUGAAGAAGGUCUUCGGAUUGUAAAGCACUUUAAGUUGGGAGGAAGGGCAGUAAGUUAAUACCUUGCUGUUUUGACGUUACCGACAGAAUAAGCACCGGCUAACUUCGUGCCAGCAGCCGCGGUAAUACGAAGGGUGCAAGCGUUAAUCGGAAUUACUGGGCGUAAAGCGCGCGUAGGUGGUUCGUUAAGUUGGAUGUGAAAGCCCCGGGCUCAACCUGGGAACUGCAUCCAAAACUGGCGAGCUAGAGUAUGGCAGAGGGUGGUGGAAUUUCCUGUGUAGCGGUGAAAUGCGUAGAUAUAGGAAGGAACACCAGUGGCGAAGGCGCCACCUGGGCUAAUACUGACACUGAGGUGCGAAAGCGUGGGGAGCAAMCAGGAUUAGAUACCCUGGUAGUCCACGCCGUAAACGAUGUCGUCUCCCGUUGGGAUCCUUGAGAUCUUAGUGGCGCAGCUAACGCAUUAAGUCGACCGCCUGG